rnacentral:rRNA from 1 species
GACGAACGCUGGCGGCGUGCCUAACACAUGCAAGUCGAGCGGGGUUGAAGCGAGGGGUAACUCGAACUUCUACCUAGCGGCGGACGGGUGAGUAACGCGUGGGCAACCUGCCUCAAGGUCUGGGAUAACAGCUCGAAAGGGCUGCUAAUACCGGAUAUGCCUAUAGCCUCGCAUGGGGCUAUGAGCAAAGGGGAAACCCGCCUUGAGAUGGGCCCGCGUCCCAUCAGCUAGUUGGUGAGGUGAAGGCUCACCAAGGCGACGACGGGUAGCCGGCCUGAGAGGGUGACCGGCCACACUGGGACUGAGACACGGCCCAGACUCCUACGGGGGGCAGCAGUGGGGAAUCUUGCACAAUGGGCGAAAGCCUGAUGCAGCGACGCCGCGUGAGCGAAGAAGGCCUUCGGUUGUAAAGCUCUGUCUGGAGGGACGAAGAAAGUGACGGUACCUCCGGAGGAAGCCACGGCUAACUACGUGCCAGCAGCCGCGGUAACUAGUCUACG